AUUGAACGCUGGCGGCAUGCCUUACACAUGCAAGUCGAACGGCAGCACGGGUGCUUGCACCUGGUGGCGAGUGGCGAACGGGUGAGUAAUACAUCGGAACGUACCUUAUUGUGGGGGAUAACGCAGCGAAAGCUGUGCUAAUACCGCAUACGCCCUGAGGGGGGAAAGCGGGGGAUCGCAAGACCUCGCGCGAUUAGAGCGGCCGAUGCCUGAUUAGCUGGUUGGUGGGGUAAAGGCCCACCAAGGCGACGAUCAGUAGCUGGUCUGAGAGGACGAUCAGCCACACUGGGACUGAGACACGGCCCAGACUCCUACGGGAGGCAGCAGUGGGGAAUUUUGGACAAUAGGGGCAACCCUGAUCCAGCAAUGCCGCGUGAGUGAAGAAGGCCUUCGGGUUGUAAAGCUCUUUUGUCAGGGAAGAAACACCGGCUCUAACACAGUCCGGGAAUGACGGUACCUGAAGAAUAAGCACCGGCUAACUACGUGCCAGCAGCCGCCGUAA
rnacentral:rRNA from 1 species